GUUGCAGUAAAGUUAUCAUCUCUUGAUUUUGAUAGAAUAAGCUCGCGGUACAGAUCAUGAAUCCUACCCAAUUUCAUGCUACCGUCAUCAUUGUACUGCACAGGGUGGAUCAAGCUUCUGUUGAUGAGCUCAUUGAGAUAGCCGUCUGCAACGUCUUCAACUGUCCUCCGUUCUUUUUGUUUUACAAAUCCUUCCGUUAUCCACCGGUAGAUCAGUGUAUUGCGCUCAAUUAGAUAAUCCUCAGGAUAAAUGCUCAAAUACAGGAAACAUGGCUUAAGAUAGUAGGGGAGAUCAUUGAAACUGAGUAACAAAACUAUUCUCAUACUCUCAAAUUUGUCAUUGCAAUCCAGUUCAGGGCCAAGGCUGUGAUUAAGCAUUCCCCAUUCCCUAAUGUUGUUCCUGUUCUUUGUAGCCAAAACCCCACCAACGGCCACAAUAGCCAGCGGCAAUCCACCACAUUUUUUCAAGAUGUUCCUUGAAAUGCUCUCCAAAUGUGAAGGACAUGAAAAGCCAUGAAAUGCCUUUUGGCAGAAAAGAAUCCAUGACUCUUCAGUAGACAAGGGUUUCACCUCAUAAACAUAGCCAUUGGUCUCUAUGCUACAAAAGGAAGCCACAUCCAAAAGACGUGUUGUGAGGAUAACACGACUUCCGUCAUUUACAUCAGGCAAUGCAUAUCUGAUAGCUUCCCAAGCUUGAAUGCUCCAAACAUCAUCAAAAACUAGCACAUAUGUUCUUGAUUGCAGGAAUACUUUCGCAAUUGUUUUU
rnacentral:misc_RNA from 1 species